GGGGAAUUUUGGACAAUGGGGGCAACCCUGAUCCAGCAACGCCGCGUGAAUGAAGAAGGCCUUAGGGUUGUAAAGUUCUUUUGUCGCAGAGCGAAAGUGAUGUGUUAAUACCAUAUCACGAUGAGAGUAUGCGAAGAAUAAGCACCGGCUAACUACGUGCCAGCAGCCGCGGUAAUACGUAGGGUGCAAGCGUUAAUCGGAAUUACUGGGCGUAAAGCGUGCGCAGGCGGAUGAUUAAGUUAGAAGUGAAAUCCCCGGGCUUAACCUGGGAAUUGCUUUUGAUACUGGUCGUCUAGAGUUUGUCAGAGGGGGGUGGAAUUCCAAGUGUAGCAGUGAAAUGCGUAGAGAUUUGGAGGAACACCAAUGGCGAAGGCAGCCCCCUGGGAUAAAACUGACGCUCAUGCACGAAAGCGUGGGUAGCAAAC
rnacentral:rRNA from 1 species